CAACAAGCUUUGAUCCGGCAAUAUCCGAAUGGGGAAACCCACUGCUUCGGCAGUAUCUUGCAGUGAAUUCAUAGCUGCUUGAAGCGAACCCGGUGAACUGAAAUAUCUAAGUAACCGGAGGAAAAGAAAUCAACCGAGAUUCCCUGAGUAGUGACGAGCGAACGGGGAACAGCCCUUAAGCUGGAAUGGCUUUAGAAAAACAAUCUGGAAAGAUUGGCCAUAGAAGGUGAUAGCCCUGUAUUUAAAAGGGCCACUCCAGUGAAGACGAGUAGGGCGGGGCACGUGAAACCCUGUCUGAAUAUGGGGGGACCAUCCUCCAAGGCUAAAUACUCCUGACCGACCGAUAGUGAACCAGUACCGUGAGGGAAAGGCGAAAAGAACCCCGGAGAGGGGAGUGAAAUAGAUCCUGAAACCGUGUGCGUACAAGCAGUAGGAGCUCGCAAGAGUGACUGCGUACCUUUUGUAUAAUGGGUCAGCGACUUACUGUUCGUGGCAAGCUUAACCGUAUAGGGGAGGCGAAGGGAAACCGAGUCUGAUAAGGGCGCAUAGUCGCGGGCAGUAGACCCGAAACCGGGUGAUCUAGUCAUGGCCAGGGUGAAGGUGCCGUAACAGGUACUGGAGGCCCGAACCCACGUCUGUUGCAAAAGACGGGGAUGAGCUGUGAUUAGGAGUGAAAAGCUAAUCGAACCCGGAGAUAGCUGGUUCUCCUCGAAAGCUAUUUAGGUAGCGCCUCGGACGAAUACUACUGGG
rnacentral:rRNA from 1 species